GACGAACGCUGGCGGCGUGCCUAAUACAUGCAAGUCGAACGGAGUGGCGCACGGGUGAGUAAUAUAUAGCUAAUCUGCCCCUUGCUGGAGGACAACAGUCAGAAAUGACUGCUAAUACUCCAUAGAAAGGGAUGAGACUAUAUCGUAUCAGCUAGUCGGUGGGGUAACGGCCGACCGAGGCUAUGACGCGUAACUGGUCUGAGAGGAUGAUCAGUCACAUUGGAACUUGGACACGGUCCAAACGCCUACGGGGUGCAGCAGUAGGGAAUAUUGCGCAAUGGGGGAAUCCCUUACGCAGCAACGCCGCGUGGAGGAUGACACUUUUCGGAGCGUAAACUCCUUUUGUUAGAGAGGCGGUACCUAACGAAUAAGCACCGGCUAACUCCGUGCCAGCAGCCGCGGUAAUAC
rnacentral:rRNA from 1 species